AUUGAACGCUAGCGGCAUGCUUUACACAUGCAAGUCGAACGGGCUUAGGUGCUUGCACCUAAGUUAGUGGCGAACGGGUGAGUAAUGCAUCGGAACGUACCGUGUAGUGGGGGAUAACCCGGCGAAAGUCGGAUUAAUACCGCAUACGAUCUAAGGAUGAAAGCAGGGGAUCGCAAGACCUUGCGCUAUACGAGCGGCCGAUGUCGGAUUAGCUAGUUGGUAGGGUAAAGGCCUACCAAGGCAACGAUCCGUAGCGGGUCUGAGAGGAUGAUCCGCCACACUGGGACUGAGACACGGCCCAGCCUCCUACGGGAGGCAGCAGUGGGGAAUUUUGGACAAUGGGCGAAAGCCUGAUCCAGCCAUGCCGCGUGAGUGAAGAAGGCCUUCGGGUUGUAAAGCUCUUUUGUCCGGGAGCAAAUCCUGUUCACUAAUACUGAGCGGGGCUGAGAGUACCGGAAGAAUAAGCACCGGCUAACUACGUGCCAGCCGCCGCCGUAA
rnacentral:rRNA from 1 species